GAUUUAACAGUAUUUUUCACAGACUUCAUUCUGGAUAAAAUCUGCCUUCAGCCAUCCAGUGGAGACCCACCUGAGCAGGAAUUCCUGUGGCAGAGAGAUUUGGACCUUGUGCUGAUCUCCCUAAGAGGAAUCGAUAAGGCUAUUUGUGUGGAAAUGAAUCAAGCUGUUAAAGUUGCUCAGCUGCCAGAGGUGACUGAUAUUUCUUCCUCUGAAGGUAAAGAUCACUCCAGCUUGUUUCUAAUUGUGUAAUACAGCUUCAGUAAAAUGCUACUAUAAGCUGUGGUACACAGUCCUGAAUUAAUUAUUCAUCUGGAUAUUAAAAUAUGUAGGCAAAAUCAAAUAUCUUCAAAUCCAUGAUAACAUGGAUCCUACACCUUAAUAUACGUUCAAUUUUUUGCAGUUCCCAGCGUGUCUAGGUUAGUAUAGUUUUCAGAGAUUGCAGCUUCCCUGCCUUUUAGAGAGACGAGCAAGUGCUGUGUGUAAUGUGACUGAUUCACUUGCCUUCACUUGACGUCUUGGUACUGCAGAGUUUAUGCUGAAACCAGCAGUGGAGGGAGCUACGUAGUACAGAGGAUGCUGAACUGGCUGAGGAGCUGGCAUCUCUGUCCAAGGGUAUUUGCUGCCAGCUGUUGCACUGCUGUCCCACAAGUGCCUUGCUGGCCUUUAAAGGGCUCUUAGCCAACAGGGCUGUGUUUGGAGUGGUCUGGUAUCAAUGAAAAGCAAAGUAUUUUCCCAAAUCUUGGGAAAGGGGAAAGAAUGCUGCUCUUACCUCUGUUGCAUCUCCAUUCUUUUGGAAUCUCUCCAUUUUAAGAACAAAGAACUGGGGUAACUCUAGCUGUCUGCCAAAAUAAAAGUCAAAAGAAGGAUCACUGUAUUUAGAGAUCUUGAUCUCAUUACCUGAAGAAUGUAUGCUGCAAAUGGCUGCAGUCUUCUAGUGUCUUUUAAAAUGAUACAUGCGAUAUAAAACAUUUUAACAAACAAAUAUGUGCUUCUGCAGAAGGAAACAAUGUGUUUUGAAAGUCUAUCAGUGUAAUUUCCCUGAAGUUUUUAAAUGAGCAGGCAAGAUAAAAUGGUUUCAGGAGAAUUUUGUUAAUAGCGAUGUUUUGGUUUCAAGGAAAGAAACUAGAACUGUGAAGAUUUCACCUGGCAAUGUAGAAAAAAUACAUAAAAGUAACAAAAAUAAACAUGUCAGUUUUCUCUCAACUUUAAUGCUGUAAAGAAAUAUAACCAAUAAAAAAUGGCAGCAACUGUACAAUGAUUGUGUUUUGAACAGAUUUAUACCAUAGGUUCUAACCAACGUAUGAGUUAAAGCUCUAAUACAUAUUACAAGAAACUAAGCUGCUUUUUCACGCCAUGCUGUGUACCUGCCCACCUUGAUUAUAGUUUAAAUAGAUGAUAAGAUUUGAUAGUUCUCUGGUUGUUCAACAUGUGUCCUCAAUUUUUAGUUUAUUUCCCCACCCUGCCUGGGAUGGCAGUCAUUCCUGUAGAGAAAUUCAGAUGAUGUCUAAGGAACACUGAAUUGUGUUAGUGCUUCUCUUCAUUGCCCACUUCCCUGGAAGUAUUUUUAAACAGCAAGAUCAUCUUACUGAGCUUGUUUUAAUAUUUUUUUAUUUUAGUGGGGGUGGAACAUGUGCUGCUAGUACUGUUCAUUAAACAAGUGAGAUAUAUAGCUCCUACUGUAUUUAAUUUGUUGAAACUGAUUUUGUCACUUUUAAAAUGUGCCUUGUAUUCCACUGUGAUACUAAAAAUAAAUGUGUAUUUGAAA